GAUGAACGCUGGCGGCGUGCCUAAUACAUGCAAGUCGAGCGAACUGAUUAGAAGCUUGCUUCUAUGACGUUAGCGGCGGACGGGUGAGUAACACGUGGGCAACCUGCCUGUAAGACUGGGAUAACUUCGGGAAACCGAAGCUAAUACCGGAUAGGAUCUUCUCCUUCAUGGGAGAUGAUUGAAAGAGGGUUUCGGCUAUCCCUUACAGAUGGGCCCGCGGUGCAUUAGCUAGUUGGUGAGGUAACGGCUCACCAAGGCAACGAUGCAUAGCCGACCUGAGAGGGUGAUCGGCCACACUGGGACUGAGACACGGCCCAGACUCCUACGGGAGGCAGCAGUAGGGAAUCUUCCGCAGUGGACGAAAGUCUGACGGAGCAACGCCGCGUGAGUGAUGAAGGCUUUCGGGUCGUAAAACUCUGUUGUUAGGGAAGAACAAGUACAAGAGUAACUGCUUGUACCUUGACGGUACCUAACCAGAAAGCCACGGCUAACUACGUGCCAGCAGCCGCGGUAAAAC
rnacentral:rRNA from 1 species